rnacentral:lncRNA from 1 species
AACAAAGGGUAAGAAUCCUUGUACGCCAAUCCUACAUGAUAUAAAUAUUUUGCACUAUAUAUAUAUGUUUGAUAUGCUAUGAUCCAGACAAAGCAAAAUGGUUUUUAUAUUUAAAUUGUAUUUUGAUCGUCUUUGCUUGUGAUUGGUAUAAUGAUGGAUGCAUGCAUGCGCAUAACCUACACCUGCAAAAUUUGACUGAUGGAUGUGGUGCUCUAAACUAACCAUGUGAUAUUGGUUGCCCCGUCAUGGGCUGGAAACGUGACUGUGGUUAGUUUAUAGCCAAAAAUAAAUAAAAGAAAAUUGAUGUGUAGAUGUAAACUGGAUUGUAUGAAAAGGAACUUUGGGUUUAUCUUGUUAUUAUGGCAGGCCCCGUCACAGGCUGAAAAUGUGGUAUUUUGGUAGGCCCCCUCACAGGCUAGAAAUGUGGAACUAUAAUGUGCAGGCCCCGCCACAGGCUGAAAAUGUGAUACUUUGGCAGGCCCCAUCACAUGCUAGAAAUGUGGAACUAUAAUGUGCAGG